AUUAACUUUUUGAAAUAAUCAAAUAUGAGUGUAUAAAAGAUUUUUAGCGGCUCCCAAAGGGACACAGUAGGAGCGGGGGUGAUCAAUUAGAUCCGCACGAACGGUUGGCCGAUUUUCUCGAUUCACCAGUUCUGUUCUAUGAGUAUGAACAUGGCCGCGUCUGCUGCUACCACCGCUCGUCCUCUUUAUCUAAUCAAAUUCCCUAAACGCCCUCACCUUUUAUCAGAUUCACAAUUUCGCCCUCGGCUACUCAGUUCCCAAACCCAAAGAACCACUAUUCGUGCUACAUCGGCU
rnacentral:lncRNA from 1 species